rnacentral:lncRNA from 1 species
GGAGCAAGAAUCAGUGGCCUUCUGUCGGUUAAUGUCCUCUGCUCUUAAAGCUCCAAGUGGACUGGUAUUCCCUAGCAGCAGUGAACCUUUCCCUUGUGGUUUUGCAGCACCCUCCUCCAGCAAAGAAGGAAACAUAACAAAACUUGAAAACAACCCAACAAUAGCAACAACAGAAACACCAAACAAACAGAUGGGCAAACUAGUAGCCUCUUGCAUGGUGGAGGCUCACUUUUUACUGCAGAAUUCGGCGUUGUUGAGGAACUUCCUGAUGACCAACCCCAGGCAAACCACCAGCAGCAGCAUGUAGCCCACGGUGCCCGAGAAGGUGGGCGCUGCAGGUGGCGCCUGGAGGAACUGGCGCAGACCCUCCUCCACGUAGUACACCUGGUCGUAGAUGCUGAGGAAAGUGAAGAUGUGGAAAAGCUGGUGACUGUGACCGAUGAUGUCGAAGAGGCCUGGCUGGAUGCGCUCGGGGAUCUUGCUCACGUUGAAGAAGGCAGCCACCACCAGCCAGAAGUAGCGGCGGUAGAAGUGCACGAAGAGGGUGGGGUUCUCCCCACGCAGGUCGAAGAGCCAGCUCUCCAGCAUGAUGGGGCAGGCCAUGCUGAGGGGCAUGAUGAAGACAAAGGUGCGCAAGGCGAACGGGUAGGCGCACCAGUCAGUGCGGCUCUUGCAGCAGGCCACCGUGCAGGCCACCGCCAGCACGAAGGCCACAGGCAGCACCAGCGCGCGGUAGGCGGCUAUGAGGCGCGUGCAGUCCACGUGCCAGCCCAGGCGCUGCUGUACAUACGGGGUCAUGACUCUGGCGUCCAGCAAGCUCAGGCCAGGCAGCAGGUAGUAGUAGUAGGCCACUGUGCUGCCGAAGCCAUAGUAGCUGAUGGAUGCGUAGUCCAAGUAGAAGAAGGCGGCGCGCAGGCGCAGCGACAGGCAGCUGAACACGUGCGCCGUGCAGCUCAUGGCGAAGGUCAGCAGCACCCCGGACGCGUAGCACCACAGGGGCAGCAGCCACGGGUGGUGGAAGGGCACAUCGCGGCCGCUCAGGAAGAACAGGCGGCAGAACUUGCUGAGGAACAGCAGCAGCGGGAUGAAGUGCGUCCAGAAGUUGAGCGUCUCGUUGCGGACUUAUUCAGGUGCGUCACUAGCCUAUUUCCCUCGCCCUUGCCCUGUCCGAAUGAACCGUCGCCGAGCUCGCCUCCCCUGGUCGUUCACACCAGCCACUAG